rnacentral:rRNA from 1 species
CGCUGGCGGCAGGCCUAACACAUGCAAGUCGAGCGGAUGAGAGGAGCUUGCUCCUGGAUUCAGCGGCGGACGGGUGAGUAAUGCCUAGGAAUCUGCCUGGUAGUGGGGGACAACGUUUCGAAAGGAACGCUAAUACCGCAUACGUCCUACGGGAGAAAGCAGGGGACCUUCGGGCCUUGCGCUAUCAGAUGAGCCUAGGUCGGAUUAGCUAGUUGGUGAGGUAAUGGCUCACCAAGGCGACGAUCCGUAACUGGUCUGAGAGGAUGAUCAGUCACACUGGAACUGAGACACGGUCCAGACUCCUACGGGAGGCAGCAGUGGGGAAUAUUGGACAAUGGGCGAAAGCCUGAUCCAGCCAUGCCGCGUGUGUGAAGAAGGUCUUCGGAUUGUAAAGCACUUUAAGUUGGGAGGAAGGGUUGUAGAUUAAUACUCUGCAAUUUUGACGUUACCGACAGAAUAAGCACCGGCU